rnacentral:rRNA from 1 species
GACGAACGCUGGCGGCGUGCUUAACACAUGCAAGUCGAACGGAGUGGCGAACGGGUGAGUAAAACGUGGGUGACCUGCCCUGCACUUCGGGAUAAGCCUGGGAAACUGGGUCUAAUACCGGCUCGUGUGGGAUGGGCCGGCGGCCUAUCAGCUUGUUGGUGGGGUAAUGGCCUACCAAGGCGACGACGGGUAGCCGGCCUGAGCGGGCGACCGGCCAAAUUGGGACUGAGAGACGGCCCAAAGUGCUACGGGAGGCAGCAGUGGGGAAUAUUGCGCAAGGGGGGAAACCCUGAUGCAGCAACGCCGGGGGAGGGAUGACGGCCUUCGGGUUGUAAACCUCUUGCAGCCAUGACGCGGUAGUGACAGAAGAAGCACCGGCUAACUACGGGCCAGCAGCCGCGGUAAUUC